AAAGUAAUGGAGAAAAUGUGAAGAUAAUUAUAAGAACAAGAGGUUUAAUAGAUUCUAAAACCAUAGGAUUGGAAAUUGCUUCCCAAGAUCCUUCUGUCAUGAGCACUUUGAAUGAAAGAUGGCCUCGGUUUCCUUUUGAAUCAAGAAGGCAUUGUAAAAAAGCCCAAGAUAGCUGUGGCAAUACGCUACGUGGCUUUUCUCCUUCAUACCCAGGUAACUCUUUCAGAUAUCGCCCAAUCUCUAGGGGCAGGACAGGGCAACUGACCUAUAUAAAACCUGCCACUCUUGCUGGGGCAGAGUUUGCUGGACAAGGAGCUAUGUGGCUCCUUCCAAAAUGUAAACCUGUUUUAAGGUGUUUCACUGUGGAUACAUAACAGCCCAUUUGAGUGUCUCUUCUUUUUUCCUGCCCUGGUAUUUUUUUAAAUGUGGUUUUUACUGACUAAUGAAUGCAAAACAUAUAUUUUCAGAAGACCUAAUAUACAGGGUAUAUUGGGUCUUCAAAAGAAGAUAUAAUCUAACAGAUUACAAAGUUAGUUCAGGUGAUCAGAACAGAGGAUCCAUCGAAUAUAAAUUUUCUUAUUCUGUAAAUCAGCAUUCUAGAUGUUAAAAAUAUAAAUGGUACCAUGUACAUGGCAGAAAAGAUAUGUUAAUAACAAACCUGAAAAUCUAUCCUUGCCCUGACAGUAGGUGAUAGACUUGCUAGUUAUAUGCUAUAUGCUUUUGUAGAACUGUCUUUUGUUCCUUCAGUUUGGAUAGAAAAUUAACUGUUGCCUUCUAAUAGAAAAUAAGCUUUAAGAGGACAGGACCAUGUAUGUUUUCACUGACUGUGUAUAUAUAUACAUAUGCACAAAGUCUGCUAAGUAAUUGACAAAUGAAUUAAUGAAUGAAAUGAAUACAGUAGCUGAAUUUACAUGAGAGGGCAAGUAAUUCAAUGGAAAUUAGCUUAAGCUUCCUAUUAUCUUAGAAAAUAGAGAUGAAGCCACUUUGUAAACUGAAGAGCAAUUUAAAUGUCAUUCUUGCUGUUUUAGUGAAAAUAAUGAAAGUAAGUAUCUACUAUAUGUCAGUCGUUAGUCUUCAAAUAAGGGUUAUGAUAAUGAUGAAUGGACCACAGCACAAAUAACUGAAAUUACCAUAGGGAAUUUCACCCUGGGGUCUUCCCACAAAUCAGACCAAUUUCACCCUAAAGCCUAGGAGACUGCUUGAUUGUGAUACUAUUGCUGAUGCCUUGACUUUGAUAUAUUACUCAGAUGGCACUAGCAUAGCCACAGCAGUGACUAGUACUAUAAACCUACCCUUAAGUGCAGCUUACUCUGUGCCAGGCACCCUUCUGAGGUAUUGACGUGUAUUACCUUAGUCCAUUUUCUCCCUAAUUAGAGAGGUUAUUGUGUCUGCUUAUUGUAGAAAACUUAAACACAUAAAAAACUGAAUUUCUGUUUAUCCUUAAUGAAUCUUUCAUUUUAAUACUUAGAAGGGUAUUUUGCUCUUAGAAGAUUACUUGGAAUUUUUAAAAAUGUUAUUCUGAAAGGUCUAGUUUUUAAUAUGAUGUCUAAUGUAUUUGCAUAUAUUUUGUAACUAAUAUCACUGGCUGUACAUUUGCAAUGCCC
ensembl:lncRNA